UGAGGAAUAUUGCACAAUGGGCGCAAGCCUGAUGCAGCGACGCCGCGUGUGGGAUGAAGGGCCUACGCCUCGUAAACCACUGUAGCCCGGGGCGAAAAACGCCUUGGAGGCGUUAGACGGUACCGGGAAAGUAAGGGUCGGCUAACUACGUGCCAGCAGCCGCGGUAAUACGUAGGACCCAAGCGUUGUCCGGAUUUACUGGGUGUAAAGGGUGCGCAAGCGGAUGGGUAAGUCAGGGGUGAAAGUCUGCAGCUUAACUGUAGAAUUGCCUUUGAUACUGCUCAUCUUGAGUGUGGGAGAGGUUGAUGGAAUUCCAGGUGUAGCAGUGAAAUGCGUAGAUAUCUGGAAGAACACCAGUGGCGAAGGCGGUCAACUGGCCCAUAACUGACGCUCAUGCACGAAAGCGUGGGGAGCAAACA
rnacentral:rRNA from 1 species